UACGUAGGGGGCAAGCGUUGUCCGGAAUCAUUGGGCGUAAAGCGCGUGUAGGCGGUUCAGUAAGUCUGCUGUGAAAGUCCAGGGCUCAACCCUGGGAUGCCGGUGGAUACUGCUGGACUAGAGUGCGGAAGAGGCGAGUGGAAUUCCCGGUGUAGCGGUGAAAUGCGCAGAUAUCGGGAGGAACACCAAUUGCGAAGGCAGUUCGCUGGGACGUUACUGACGCUGAGACGCGAAAGCGUGGGGAGCAAACAGG
rnacentral:rRNA from 1 species